CCUACGGGAGACAGCAGUAGGGAAUCUUCCACAAUGGGCGAAAGCCUGAUGGAGCAACGCCGCGUGGGUGAAGAAGGUCUUCGGAUCGUAAAACCCUGUUGUUAGAGAAGAAAGUGCGUGAGAGUAACUGUUCACGUUUCGACGGUAUCUAACCAGAAAGCCACGGCUAACUACGUGCCAGCAGCCGCGGUAAUACGUAGGUGGCAAGCGUUAUCCGGAUUUAGUGGGCGUAAAGGGAACGCAGGCGGUCUUUUAAGUCUGAUGUGAAAGCCUUCGGCUUAACCGGAGUAGUGCAUUGGAAAAUGGGAGACUUGAGUGCAGAAGAGGAGAGUGGAACUCCAUGUGUAGCGGUGAAAUGCGUAGAUAUAUGGAAGAACACCAGUGGCGAAAGCGGCUCUCUGGUCUGUAACUGACGCUGAGGUUCGAAAGCGUGGGUAGCAAACAGGAUUAGAUACCCUUGUAGUC
rnacentral:rRNA from 1 species